rnacentral:lncRNA from 1 species
CCCGAACCGGGACCGGGACCGGGACCCACAUCGGGGGGGCCCCAAAACCUCGGUCCCGGUCCGGGGGCUCCAACAGGACCGGAACCGGGGGAACGGAGCGGAGCCGGGGAGGGAGAACCGGGCCCGGUUCCGUCGGGACUCCCCGGUACCGGAGGGAGGUCCAGGAGAGCCGGGCCCGGUUCCAUCAGGAGCCCCCGGUACCGAGGGGGCGUCCAUGAGGAGCAGUCCCGGGACCGGGGAGAACCGGGCCCGGUCCCACCGCGAUCCCCCGGCACCGGGAAUCCACGCGACCCCACGGCGGGAUUUGGCCAAACCGGGCCCGGCAUUGAGCAGAACCGGCCGCGAUUCCAUCCGAACCCUCCGGUACCGCCAGCGCCGAGCGCGGGCCCGCCAGCCCCGCCAGAACCCCGCGGGACCCCUCGGAACCGCCGGUACCGGCCGGAGCCGGCUCUCAUCCCUCCGGGAGCGGGCGGCGAGAGCGGGGCUGGAGCGCUGCCCGCGGAGUUGGGAACGGCGCUCCGGGGCGGCCGCGCUGCCCGGUCCCGCUCCCGGUGCCCCCGCUCGGUGCCCCCGCUCGCUCGGUGCCCACCUUGCCCGCGGGUCCCGGCGAGAGUCAGCAGGCACAGGAGCAGGAUCCGCAUCUCCCGUCCCGUGGCGGCGGCCGCGCUCCGGGGCCGGGCCCGCCGGGGGGCUCCGCUUCGGGGGCUCCGCUCCGCGAUCGCCGCCCCGCUCGGCCCCGCGCCGCCCCCCGAGCCGAGCCGAGCCGAGCCGAGCCGAGCCUGGCCCGGCCGGGCCGGCGCCGGGCAGGGGCCGGGAAGGGCCACGGAGCUCCGGCGGCUCCGCUGCGAGCCCCGAGCGAGAGCGGCGGCGGCGGGGGCGGGGCGGGGGGCGGAGGGGGCGCCGGGAGGGGGAGCGGGAGCGGCGGCGGCGGGGGGGGAGCGGGGGGAGGAGGAGGAGGAGGAGNNNNNNNNNNNNNNNNNNNNNNNNNNNNNNNNNNNNNNNNNNNNNNNNNN